rnacentral:rRNA from 1 species
GAUGAACGCUGGCGGCGUGCCUAAUACAUGCAAGUCGAGCGAACAGACGAGGAGCUUGCUCCUCUGACGUUAGCGGCGGACGGGUGAGUAACACGUGGAUAACCUACCUAUAAGACUGGGAUAACUUCGGGAAACCGGAGCUAAUACAGGAUAAUAUAUUGAACCGCAUGGUUCAUUAGUGAAAGAGGGUUUUGCUGUCACUUAUAGAUGGAUCCGCGCCGCAUUAGCUAGUUGGUAAGGUAACGGCUUACCAAGGCAACGAUGCGUAGCCGACCUGAGAGGGUGAUCGGCCACACUGGAACUGAGACACGGUCCAGACUCCUACGGGAGGCAGCAGUAGGGAAUCUUCCGCAAUGGGCGAAAGCCUGACGGAGCAACGCCGCGUGAGUGAUGAAGGUCUUCGGAUCGUAAAACUCUGUUAUUAGGGAAGAACAAAUGUGUAAGUAACUAUGCACGUCUUGACGGUACCUAAUCAGAAAGCCACGGCUAACUACGUG